rnacentral:piRNA from 1 species
UGUUGGGAACUGUCGACAAACACUCAGU